rnacentral:lncRNA from 1 species
GGUGAAGUGAUGGAUUGUGAAUCUCCAGCUCAGAGAGAGGGUGAAUGUGAUUCAGUUUUCAGUACCCUGAACCAUCUGAGCUCACCCAAUAAUGGUGAUCACUUCAGCUGAGCAGUUACUAGGCAGCCUCCACCAAGAUGAAUUUGGGACCGUGAGCACUUCCCCGCUCAGCCACGAGAGAGCAGCCGGCAAUUAGGGCUGGAGGGAUGCGAAUCACCCGCAGCGCUCCGGGAAAAAUCCCUGCUCGCACUUCCCUGCUCGCCUUGAGCUCUUCAGACAAAAUUUAAGUCAAGCCGGGGUUAACUAAACCCUCGCUGCUUGUUUUCAGCCGCUGCGAGGUUUGGUGGUGCAGGGAUGGGGUGGAAGCUGUGG